GGGAAGUGCGGGGUGCUAUACAUGCAAGUCGAGCGGACAGAAGGGAGCUUGCUCCCGGAUGUUAGCGGCGGACGGGUGAGUAACACGUGGGUAACCUGCCUGUAAGACUGGGAUAACUCCGGGAAACCGGAGCUAAUACCGGAUAGUUCCUUGAACCGCAUGGUUCAAGGAUGAAAGACGGUUUCGGCUGUCACUUACAGAUGGACCCGCGGCGCAUUAGCUAGUUGGUGAGGUAACGGCUCACCAAGGCGACGAUGCGUAGCCGACCUGAGAGGGUGAUCGGCCACACUGGGACUGAGACACGGCCCAGACUCCUACGGGAGGCAGCAGUAGGGAAUCUUCCGCAAUGGACGAAAGUCUGACGGAGCAACGCCGCGUGAGUGAUGAAGGUUUUCGGAUCGUAAAGCUCUGUUGUUAGGGAAGAACAAGUGCAAGAGUAACUGCUUGCACCUUGACGGUACCUAACCAGAAAGCCACGGCUAACUACGUGCCAGCAGCCGCGGUAAUACGUAGGUGGCAAGCGUUGUCCGGAAUUAUUGGGCGUAAAGGGCUCGCAGGCGGUUUCUUAAGUCUGAUGUGAAAGCCCCCGGCUCAACCGGGGAGGGUCAUUGGAAACUGGGAAACUUGAGUGCAGAAGAGGAGAGUGGAAUUCCACGUGUAGCGGUGAAAUGCGUAGAGAUGUGGAGGAACACCAGUGGCGAAGGCGACUCUCUGGUCUGUAACUGACGCUGAGGAGCGAAAGCGUGGGGAGCGAACAGGAUUAGAUACCCUGGUAGUCCACGCCCGUAAACGAUGAGUGCUAAGUGUUAGGGGG
rnacentral:rRNA from 1 species